AGGGAUCAUUACUGAGUUUACGCUCUACAACCCUUUGUGAACAUACCUAUAACUGUUGCUUCGGCGGGUAGGGUCUCCGUGACCCUCCCGGCCUCCCGCCCCCGGGCGGGUCGGCGCCCGCCGGAGGAUAACCAAACUCUGAUUUAACGACGUUUCUUCUGAGUGGUACAAGCAAAUAAUCAAAACUUUUAACAACGGAUCUCUUGGCUCUGGCAUCGAUGAAGAACGCAGCGAAAUGCGAUAAGUAAUGUGAAUUGCAGAAUUCAGUGAAUCAUCGAAUCUUUGAACGCACAUUGCGCCCGCCAGCAUUCUGGCGGGCAUGCCUGUUCGAGCGUCAUUUCAACCCUCAAGCUCUGCUUGGUGUUGGGGCCCUACAGCUGAAGUAGGCCCUCAAAGGUAGUGGCGGACCCUCCCGGAGCCUCCUUUGCGUAGUAACUUUACGUCUCGCACUGGGAUCCGGAGGGACUCUUGCCGUAAAACCCCCAAUUCUCCAAAGGUUGACCUCGGAUCAGGUAGGAAUACCCGCUGAACUUAA
rnacentral:rRNA from 1 species